AUUGAACGCUGGCGGCAGGCUUAACACAUGCAAGUCGAGCGAGCGGCGGACGGGUGAGUAAUGUAUGGGAAACUGCCUGAUGGAGGGGGAUAACGACUGGAAACGGUAGCUAAUAACGCAUACCAUCAAAUGUGCCCAGAUGGGAGUAGCUAGUCGGUGGGGUAAUGGCUCACCUAGGCGAGGAGCCCUAGCUGGUCUGCGAGGAUGACCAGCCACACUGGAACGGAGACACGGUCCAGACGCCUACGGGAGGCAGCAGUGGGGAAUAUUGCACAAUGGGCGCAAGCCUGAUGCAGCCAUGCCGCGUGUGUGAAGAAGGCCUUCGGGUUGUAAAGCACUUUCAGCGAGGAGGCGUUACUCGCAGAAGAAGCACCGGCUAACUCCGUGCCAGCAGCCGCGGUAAUUC
rnacentral:rRNA from 1 species